rnacentral:lncRNA from 1 species
AUUGACAAAUUGGCAAGUGUACCAAAUCGUACAAGUAAUAUAAAUGGUAAGACCAAGUAUCGUUUUCCCAAGAGACUCGAAUGGCUUUCUCGUUCGCGUGAAUUAAAAUAAUACGACUUGAAAAUAAAAAUUAAUAAAUUGGAUUUGAAAACAAAAAUAUUAACAUGCAAAAUAAAGUUGAUUCAAUUGACAAAAGAAAACAAUGGAUGAAUGGAUGUUGUUGGGGGUUCACAAUUUCAUCUAAUCCUCUCCCUCUUAUCUACUCCUCUUGAAUAUUAGAUUGAUUAAUUAAUUGUUAUGCGGCUUUCUUAGUCUCCCCUUAACCCGAUCCCUCGGCGAAAAGGGCCUAAUAUUAACUACUGGCUUGCUAUCCCUAGCCUCCCCUAGCAAUUAAUACCGCAUUAUAAACAGAAGUUAGCGCAAUUGAUCGUCCUACCCCUAUCCCUAGGUGGUAUUGCAAAAUCAAGAAAUUACUCACC